rnacentral:lncRNA from 1 species
CCCAUGAAACGUAGCUUAUUGUUCGAAAGUCGUAAGUCUUGCUUUUAUAAUGUGAUAGUGUCAACUCUUGCUCAUGAGAUGUAGCUUGAAUGGAAGAAAUCGAAGAAAAGAACAAAAAUAUUAAAAAAAUAAAAAUCAAAGAAAAUGUAGAAGUUGAGAGAAAAUAGGAAAAAAUAAAGGUUGAUAAAAAAAAUUAAAUAAAAAUAAAGGUCGAGAAAAAUUAAAAAAGAAAAUAAUCAAAGAAUUUUUUUAAAUAAAAGUAGACGUUGAAAGGUAUAAAUAAAAAAGUAAGGGCUG